CGGAGAAACCGGCGCACGGGUGCGUAACGCGUAUGCAACCUACCUUUCACAGGGGGAUAGCCCGAAGAAAUUUGGAUUAAUACCCCAUAAUAUUAUUGGAUGGCAUCAUUUGAUAAUUAAAACUGCGGUGGUGAAAGAUGGGCAUGCGUCCUAUUAGCUAGUUGGAGUGGUAACGGCACCCCAAGGCUACGAUAGGUAGGGGUCCUGAGAGGGAGAUCCCCCACACUGGUACUGAGACAGGGACCAG
rnacentral:rRNA from 1 species